rnacentral:rRNA from 1 species
GCUACCAUGCAAGUCGCGCGGGAUUAUGCAGAGUAUCGUGUAGUCUAGCGGCAAACGGGUGAGUAACACGUAGGAAACCUCCCUCAGAAUGGGGAAUAUCUCCGAGAAAUCGGAGUCAAUACCGCAUAAGACCACAAUUUGGCAUCAAAUAGGGGUCAAAGCAGUAAUGCGUUUUGAGAUGGUCCUGCGGCCUAUCAGCUAGUUGGCGGGGUAAAUGCCCACCAAGGCUAUGACGGGUAUCCGGCCUGAAAGGGUGAACGGACACACUGGAACUGAGACACGGUCCAGACUCCUACGGGAGGCAGCAGUGGGGAAUUUUGGACAAUGGGGGAAACCCUGAUCCAGCGACGCCGCGUGGAGGACGAAGGCCUUCGGGUUGUAAACUCCUUUUAGAGGGGAAGAAAAAAAUGACGGUACCCUCAGAAAAAGCCACGGCUAACUGCGUGCCAGCAGCCGCGGUAAUACGUAGGUGGCGAGCGUUACUCGGAAUUACUAGGCGUAAAGCGUAUGUAGGCGGUUGGAUAAGUCUUUAGUGAAAUUUCUCUGCUCAACAGGGAAGGGUCUAAGGAUACUGUUUGACUUGAGUGUUGGAGGGGGAGACGGAAUUCCUGGUGUAGCGGUGAAAUGCGUAGAUAUCAGGAGGAACACCGAUGGCGAAAGCAGUCUCCUGGCCAAAUACUGACGCUAAUGUACGAAAGCUAGGGUAGCAAACAGGAUUAGAUACCCUGGUAGUCCUAGCUGUAAACGAUGUUCACUAGAUGUGGGAGGUAUCGACCCCUUCCGCGUCGACGCUAACGCAUUAAGUGAACCGCCUGGGGAGUACGGCCGCAAGGUUGAAGCUCAAAGGAAUUGACGGGGGCCCGCACAAGCGGUGGAGUAUGUGGUUUAAUUCGACGCAACGCGAAAACCUUACCUGGGCUUGAACUGCUAAUAGUAAAAGCCGGAAACGGCGAUGACCCGCAAGGAGUUAGCAGAGGUGCUGCAUGGCUGUCGUCAGCUCGUGUCGUGAGAUGUUGGGUUAAGUCCCGCACGAGCGCAACCCUUAUCCCAU